CCGAGAGUUGGCCUGGGUAGGCCAACGAAAAACUAAACUUCCCCCCGACGACGUCUCUUCAUGACUCUGCCGCGCGAGGCGAGCCCGCAUGUGAUCCGCGAAGGUUGUGCUAUCAUCCUCCUAGUGAGUGAGCGAAAGCUACAAACGACGCCGAAAGCGGCGGCUCUCAUCAUGCGUCAGGCAGGGUCCUUGGGGGAGACGUUCAGAAUAAACCCCGUGAAAGAAAAGCGUUAUGCGAUGUCGGGCGAGGGGCGUCUCGCCGAGCUUUGCUAAGCUCGAAACAAAGCGUACCCCACACUUUUCAACCCCAAACAAACUCUGAAUCUGAACUCAAAGGGAGGCGCGAGCGUGCAUUUAUUUAUUUAAUAAUAAUGAUAAUGCCGCGAAGCCUUCUCAACCUUUAACGUU
rnacentral:misc_RNA from 1 species